UCUUUCUUUGCUGGCGACCGGCGCACGGGUGAGUAACACGUAUCCAACCUGCCCUUUACUCGGGGAUAGCCUUUCGAAAGAAAGAUUAAUACCCGAUAGCAUAAUGAUUCCGCAUGGUUUCAUUAUUAAAGGAUUCCGGUAAAGGAUGGGGAUGCGUUCCAUUAGGUUGUUGGUGGGGUAACGGCUCACCAAGCCUUCGAUGGAUAGGGGUUCUGAGAGGAAGGUCCCCCACAUUGGAACUGAGACACGGUCCAA
rnacentral:rRNA from 1 species